ACUCCUACGGGAGGCAGCAGUAAGGAAUAUUGGUCAAUGGACGCAAGUCUGAACCAGCCAUGCCGCGUGCAGGAAGACGGCCCUACGGGUUGUAAACUGCUUUUGUACCGGAAUAAACCUUUUCACGUGUGAGAAGCUGAAUGUACGGUAAGAAUAAGGAUCGGCUAACUCCGUGCCAGCAGCCGCGGUAAUACGGAGGAUCCAAGCGUUAUCCGGAUUUAUUGGGUUUAAAGGGUGCGUAGGUGGCCUAUUAAGUCAGGGGUGAAAGA
rnacentral:rRNA from 1 species